GACGAACGCUGGCGGCGUGCUUAACACAUGCAAGUCGAACGGAAAGGCCCUGCUUUUGUGGGGUGCUCGAGUGGCGAACGGGUGAGUAACACGUGAGUAACCUGCCCUUGACUUUGGGAUAACUUCAGGAAACUGGGGCUAAUACCGGAUAGGAGCUCCUGCUGCAUGGAGGGGGUUGGAAAGUUUCGGCGGGUGGGGAUGGACUCGCGGCUUAUCAGCUUGUUGGUGGGGUAGUGGCUGACCAAGGCUUUGGCGGGUAGCCGGCCUGGGAGGGUGACCGGCCUCAUUGGGACUGCGGUACGGCCCAGUCUCCUACGGGAGGCAGCAGUGGGGAAUAUUGCACAAUGGGCGGAAGCCUGAUGCAGCAGCGCCGCGUGCGGGAUGACGGCCUUCGGGUUGUGAACCGCUUUCGCCUGUGACGAAGCGUGAGUGACGGUAAUGGGUAAAGAAGCACCGGCUAACUACGUG
rnacentral:rRNA from 1 species